UUAUCCGGAUUUACUGGGUGUAAAGGGAGCGUAGACGGCUGUGUAAGUCUGAAGUGAAAGCCCGGGGCUCAACCCCGGGACUGCUUUGGAAACUAUGCAGCUAGAGUGUCGGAGAGGUAAGUGGAAUUCCCAGUGUAGCGGUGAAAUGCGUAGAUAUUGGGAGGAACACCAGUGGCGAAGGCGGCUUACUGGACGAUGACUGACGUUGAGGCUCGAAAGCGCGGGGAGCAAACAGGAUUAGAUACCCUGGUAGUCCACGCCGUAAACGAUGACUACUAGGUGUCGGGGAGCAAAGCUCUUCGGUGCCGCAGCAAACGCAAUAAGUAGUCCACCUGGGGAGUACGUUCGCAAGAAUGAAACUCAAAGGAAUUGACGGGGACCCGCACAAGCGGUGGAGCAUGUGGUUUAA
rnacentral:rRNA from 1 species